UCCACUGGGGGCGCAUAUGCUGAGAGGCCGCAAGGCCGACCCUUAGAACCUGAUUUCCGGAUAAUACCGGCGUAGGGAAGUGGCGU
rnacentral:ncRNA from 1 species